rnacentral:rRNA from 1 species
CAGCAGCCACGGGAAUACGAAGGGGGCUAGCGUUGCUCGGAAUCACUGGGCGUAAAGGGUGCGUAGGCGGGUCUUUAAGUCAGAGGUGAAAUCCCAAGGCUCAACCUUGGAACUGCCUUUGAUACUGGUUGCCUUGAGUCCGGGAGAGGUGAGUGGAACUGCGAGUGUAGAGGUGAAAUUCGUAGAUAUUCGCAAGAACACCAGUGGCGAAGGCGGCUCACUGGCCCGGAACUGACGCUGAGGCGCGAAAGCGUGGGGAGCAAACAGGAUUAGAUACCCCGGUAGUCCCUGUCUCUUAUAC